GUGGUUACAUAGAAAUUUUGGGAUUCAAAAUGGACUAAAGACCUAAAUGUGAGACCUAAAACCAUAAAACUCCUAGAAGAAGACACAGGCAGUAACUUAUCUGACAUGGGCUGUAGCAAUAUUUUUCUACUAGGUCUCCUGAGGCAAGGGAAAUAA